GGGAGUAUAGCUCAGUGGUAGAGCCCAUGCUUGGCGUGCACGAGGUCCUAGGUUCAAUCCCCUGGGCCUCCA
rnacentral:tRNA from 1 species